GAUUUCCAUGAGUACGUGUAACCGGCCGUGGGCUCCGCUUUCUGUCAGGUUUGGGCGUUCUGGGGCUGCAAAGCCCCGUGAGGGGCUGCUUUUGAAACGAGGCUUUGACAUGGGGUUUUCUGUAAUGUUCUCUUUGUGUCGUGCUGUUUUGUUUCAGGUUGUGGUGGGGCGUCUUCUAGUGAAGAUCAGCGCGAACCGAUGAGCCGUUCGGGUAUUCACGGGACCGCAGAGCCGGGGAGCCGCCCGGGGCCAGCACGGAGCUCCCCCGGCUUCUCGGAGCCGGGCGAACGUCGCCGCCCGACCGCUGUCGUGUUUUCGGAGGGGACCGCCGCUCACCGCUCCUUUCUCCGUGUCUCGGAGCCGUCCCGGGGCGCUGUCAGCUCCCUCGAGACUGAGCGAAGGCCGCACCGGAGCAUCUCGUCAGCCCGAACCGACGAGGCGGUGGAAGCGGGGAGCGUUCGGAAGCUGCUAGGGUAAACUGAGCUAGUGCUUCACUGCAUGACCCUCUGAGUCCAACAUGUAAGUUUGUUCCUGUGAACCUUUAUCCCAAACUGAGACUCAGCUUUAAUGCUAACUAUACAAAUACAGUAUGCUCUGCACUGUGUAUUUUAACAAAAGUAAUGGAACUGCACUGGGGUUCUGCCAUACUUGAUUAUAGUACACAUGAGCAUUUAUAUCUUUGUGACAGUCUGCAAUUAUUAAUUGGUUACACUUGCAAUCAGUUAAUGAUCUAUUUCUGCUGCCACUAAAGUGAAACAUGUGGGUAAUUCAGGAGAGAAAAUGGAGUUUGAGUUAAAUAUGAUGCAGCUUCCCUAAUGACUUGACUGCAACAAUUUCAAUAAGUUAUCGGGUGAUUUUAAUCACUAAUUCAAGAUGAUGUUGGAGGGCGAUUGAGCAGUUGCUCUCUAUGAAAAACAGAAUGGGGGGUUAUUUUACAUAGGGAUGUCUAAAAUUCAUAUUACUGAGAGAAAAUUUAUGGAUAAACACAUCCACUAAUUCAAUGAAAUUUCUUUUUAUUAUAGAAUCACAAAGCCAACCUUGUAGGAAGGGACGCGUGACUCCUAGCUCUGCAGUACAUUGUCCUGACUUAAACUGGUCUGGCUGAGAGCAGCAUCCAUGUGCUUUGUGAACUGUGUCGGCUCUGGGCUGUGACUGCUGCCUCAGGGAAGCCUGUUCUGACAUCUCAACCCUCUUUAGAGCAAGGUUUUUCUUCGUCUCCAACCUGUACUGUCUACUGUCCAAAUCCCUCUGCAGAGCCUUAUGUACACCUUUGACUCCUGUGUCCUGAUUAAUGACUCCUGUGUCCUGAUUAAUUAUAGAAAUGCCUAAGGGAACUACUCCUGCAAAGAAGCUCCUGGAAUCUGACUGUUCCUACAUAUUAGUUUAUUGACUCAGUGUAUUAGAAAAUUGAAAUUAAUGGAUGUAUUGUUCUACUGGUGGAAUGGAAUAAAAUCUGUUAAAUUAUCCA
rnacentral:lncRNA from 1 species